AUAAGUAAGUAAGUAAGCCUAACUUCCAUUGUUGAAUUAGCAUAUGCCUCCGGUAACAUAUUACCUUACAUGUCCGAGAGGUAUUGUAAUUUGCAGGCGGCUUACGUAGGUUAAUAAAGCUCAUUUCGUCAGGUUGAGAAGCGCUAUUCGUUGUUAGUGGUGCGUGUUGUUGAGCAAGCCGCGUUAAGCCGGGUUGGCGAGCACUGACUGCUUCGUCAUUUCGAAAGGUUGUGUUUAACGCAGGUGGCUCCAAAGGGUUUAAAUCACCUGGUCGGGUAACACUUGACGCCACAUUUUCCGGAUGAUUUGUGCACGUCGUGCAAGCACUUGCAGCCCUUACCCCCUCAUUUGACGGGCACUCAAAACUGUGUUUGAAACACGCGCGUGAAUCCCAACUUCGUCUGGUUGAGGAACACUGCUCGCUGCAUCAGUCGGGCGGUCGAUGUGGGACACGUGGAAAUGUGGAGAUUCCUCCAACGUAGCGUUAGAAUUCACAGGCGUGUAAUGAUUUGCAGGACAUACAACGCUCGUUUGGUGGGCACUCGAUGCUAUUGGUGGAACACACGCGUGAAACCUAACCUCGUCUGGUUGAGGAACACUGAUUCUGUCGAGCGGUCGUUGCGGAGCGUGCGGAGAUGCGGUGAAUCCUCCAACGUAGCUGUAGAGUUCGCAAGCGGGUUAGACUCGUUUACGAAGCAGCUGUCUACCCGUUGUUCGCCGCCGUCGGGUGACCGACCCGUCACUUCAAUUUCAAUACGGGGAAUCUGCUCUUCGCGCGGUACACUUGCCGGUUGUGACAUUUUAAUUCACAAUAGAGUUCGUUUGAAACAAUAUUUACCAGUGGUUAACACUUCUCUGGUUAUACCAGAAGUUUUUUUUUUACAAUGUUGCGUUGAGCAACAGUCAACACGAACGCGACGGCUUUCCAGAUCUAUUUACAAUAUUUUUAUUGCCGAAAGCUUAACUUACGGUGGUGUACAGUAUAAAAACUUCUGCCUAGUCGUACGGUUAGAAUAGAAAAGAGCCGCCGCACUCUAUUUCUUUCCGUACACCCGCCUGAUCCUUUCCGUUCGCCUUAUCCGUGUGUUAUCAAGUAUGCGUGUGGCAUAUUUUACACCGGGCAGUCAUCAAUACGCGUUAUUAUUACUUUACAUCGGACAGUUGCCAGACUCGUCGCAACAGGUACCAAUGUCUUUUUUGCUAUUCUCCAAACACAAUUGCAAUUGUUAGCUGAUUUCAGGAGCCCAUCACCAUAGUCUAAUUGUCUGAAGGUCUUUGCUCACCUGAACACACGCGCACGCUCGAACAAGUUCAACACGAUCGAACACAACCGAAAACAAUCGAACACCAAUCGGUCACUAUCCUGGGAAAGUCUUUGCACCCUGAUUUGACACGCAAUUCGUUAUUUGCGAGGAACACUCAAGCAUACUUAUACAAUCGAAACCGUCGCAGCACACUGUUCUAGGAAGUUAUUUUGUAUCCUAAGACAAUACCCGGCAGCCAAUUGACGUUUCAUACUAGGGCGAGGGGUGUUGAAACGCAUGGAAGAGCAGGAAGAAACACGGACGAGCGCUGAUGAACUGCAACUGUGUGCGUGCAACAGCACCAAACGGCAUGUGACGACGUACAGUGUGUGGAUGUGUGUGUGUAAUUUUAGGCAGCGAAGAUGGAUCGGGGUUAUGUUUACAAAGUGAAAGAGUUUGCAACAGAAGCGUCUUUGUGAUAAACAUAUAUUUUAGUUGCAUAUUUUCAGUGUUAAAGUUUGUAAUGUGAACUUAAAAGUAAUGACCGAUGGUUGAAGCUUCCUAUGUUAGUUUGUUGUGCUUAGUGUGAAGCAAAAAUGUGUGCUAAAGUGUUAUAAAUUAGAAAUAUGUAAACGUAUCCGUCUAGUGUUCGGUUGUACCUAUAUAAUUUUCCAUAUUUUUGGGUGUCCUUAUCGUUUACCAGGAGAAAACGAUAGAUGGAGGUUAGAUACGUGCAGCUAUUUGCCUCCGCAGGAAGUUUCAGAUAAGCCGUUCUCAUCAAUGCCAUACCAUGUACGGUCGGUUAGUUACACUUCAUCACGAAGGACAAUCCUGGGUAACGGAAUGCUGCCAAAACGAUGAAGCUGGCUUGGCCCUCGAUGACGACGCCACUUCUGCACGUUCAUCGUCAUACUUUCAUUUCAACUGGAGGCAUGUUUGUUUAGGCGGCUACAAUAAAUUGUUUGAACAUGUUCAAUGAAACAAACAUGUUGUUUUGGCUUCUCAUAAUUAAUGGUGAAUGCUAGAAAUCUCCGUGAUAACCGUUUUCGUGCGCUUAAUUAGAUUUGUAUGAAAAAUAGUGUAUUUUUAGAAUAUUAAAUUU